rnacentral:rRNA from 1 species
UUGUUUAUAUAAAAAAUCUGGCCUGCCCAAUGAAUAUUUUAAUGGCUGCAGUAUUUUGACUGUACAAAGGUAGCAUAAUCAUUUGUCUUUUAAUUGAAGUCUGGAAUGAAUGGUUGGAUGAAAAAUUUACUUUCUUUAUUUUUUAAAAAAAACUUAAUCUUUAAAUUAAAAAGUUUAAAUAUUAAUAUAGGACGAGAAGACCCUAUAGAACUUUAUUAUUAAAAAGUUAUAAUUUUAUUGAAAAUAAUUUGUUAAAAUUUUGACUAUAAUUUUGUUGGGGUGAUGGAAAAAAUUUUAUAACUUUUUUUAUAAAUUUCAUUUAUAUAUGAUUUUGUGAUCCUGUUUUAUGGAAAUAAGAUUAAGUUACCUUAGGGAUAACAGCGUUAUUACUUUAGAAAGUUCCUAUUGAUAAAGUAGUUUGCGACCUCGAUGUUGGAUUAAAAAAAAUGCCAGGGGUAGAAUAUUGGUGUAUGAGUCUGUUCGACUUUUAAUUUU